GGAGAAGGAACCAUGUAGUUCAAGUGGUAGAGCACCUGCUUUCCAUGCAGAAAGUCUUGGAUUCAGUCCCCAGCAUCUCCA